rnacentral:misc_RNA from 1 species
UACGUAUGGUGCGAACGUUGUUCGGAAUCACUGGGCAUAGAGCACGUAGGCGGUCUCGUAAGUCCGAUGUGAAAUCCCCCGGCUUAACCGGGGAACUGCAUCGGAUACUGCUGGACUAGAGUGCAGGAGGGGAGAGUGGAAUUCCUGGUGGAGCGGUGAAAUGCGUAGAUAUCAGGAGGAACGCCGGUGGCGAAAGCGACUCUCUGGUCUGUUACUGACGCUGAGGUGCGAAAGCCAGGGGAGCAAACGGG